CCUACGGGUGGCUGCAGUGGGGAAUAUUGCACAAUGGGGGAAACCCUGAUGCAGCGACGCCGCGUGAGUGAAGAAGUAAUUCGUUACGUAAAGCUCUAUCAGCAGGGAAGAAAUACUGACCUUACGGUCAGCAGACGGUACCUGAGUAAGAAGCCCCGGCUAAAUACGUGCCAGCAGCCGCGGUAAUACGUAGGGGGCAAGCGUUAUCCGGAUUUACUGGGUGUAAGGGGGGCGUAGGCGGUGCGCCAAGUCUGGAGGGAAAUGCCGCAGCUUAACUGCGGAACUGCUUUUGAAACUGGCGAGCUAGAGUGCGGGAGAGGUAAGCGGAAUUCCUGGUGUAGCGGUGAAAUGCGUAGAUAUUAGGAAGAACUACGGUGGCGAAGGCGGCUUACUGGACCGUAACUGACGUUGAGGCUCGAAAGCGUGGGGAGCAAACAGGAUUAGAUACCCGUGUAGUC
rnacentral:rRNA from 1 species